rnacentral:rRNA from 1 species
UACGUAGGGUGCGAGCGUUAAUCGGAAUUACUGGGCGUAAAGGGCGCGUAGGCGGCCCGCUAAGUCGAACGUGAAAUCCCCGAGCUCAACUCGGGAACUGCGUCCGAUACUGGCGGGCUUGAAUCCGGGAGAGGGAUGUGGAAUUCCAGGUGUAGCGGUGAAAUGCGUAGAUAUCUGGAGGAACACCGGUGGCGAAGGCGGCAUCCUGGACCGAGAUUGACGCUGAUGCGCGAAAGCCAGGGGAGCAAACGGG